rnacentral:lncRNA from 1 species
AUUUAUGUCUGCAGACGCAUGUAUAUAUACCUACAUGUCAUCAGCUACUACCUCUUCUGUGCAUGUACAGCACCAUAGACAUGUAUGGGACAUCAAUUAAAAGCUAAUCUCUUUUAGAAUCGAACAUGGCUUGGACACACACCUUCACACACACACACACACACAUAUCUGUUUCUGUUUAUUUUUCCAUACAUAUAUAUGAAUUAUGAUUCAAACACACAAAAUAUUAUGUUGUGAAAUAUUGAAAUCCACAUUUUGAAAGGGUUCCAAACUAGAAGAAAACUUAGCAAUUGCCUUUUUCUUUUUUAUGCAUGUAUAUAUGUAUAUUAUUGGUAUUAACCCUUAAAACUAGAGAUUGCUCGGUUCAUAUCUUUUAUGCAAUGAUGAUACCAAAACUUGAAUUUGGUGUAUUAUAAAGUAGUGAUGUUUAACAAAUACAUUAUACUUAUGCAUAUACACACACACACAUAUGUAUAUCUAUCUAUAUAUACGUACACAGAUGCAUAUAUGUAGUCGACGAUACAUUUUCGUAGAUAUCUACAAUAUCAAUCCGCAUAUCCACAAUCCUUAAAGACAUGAUAUCUUAUGAUGUGAAGCUGAGAAUCUCUCCUACGCAGGGGCGGAGCUAGAAUUGUAAGAUUGAGGGGGUCGAGAUAGAAAACACAAGUAUAUCAAAUACAUACAAGUGUUCAAAACGCAUGUUAGAACUAAAUUUUUCAAAAUUAGUCAUGUCUAAUUAUUUUUAAAGGGGCCAUUAAUUAAAAUUACAAGUUGUCUAUUAGUAAGUUGUAAGGGAUCAAAAAAAUGGAGGGCUCAGGGCCACUCCUGGCCUAGGAGUGGCUCCUCCACUGCUCCUGCGUCUUAUCUUUAUGAGUCUAUAAAGAGGGGAAGGACUUGAGUUUCAUGAAUUAAAAACCACUAAUUGAUUUCUCAAAUAUACAGGUAUAUCGAUCUUUCGCUCAUUUCUGUUCCCAAAUGGUGAUUUUUACCAGCAAGAAACCUGGCUUUUCCAAGUUGGUUAUGAAUGAGGACCAAGUCCCAACUCUCUCUCUUUAUACAGAAAAUGAUGGGGACGACGAUGAUGACGACGAUGAUGGAGGAGAUGUGGCGCCAGCAGCAUAGUUAUCAUAGAUUCAUAGUGUUUAUGAAUAAGAGUGGCUUAAGCUUUGAUACUUUCAUCAACUUGAGCUGAACAGAACAUUUGGCAAUAUAUAUAUAUAUAUAUAUAUUGUAAAGAAUCAGCUGCAUGUUAUAAAUUUAUAUUCAUAGGGCAACUAUUUUGUAGCAUACCAUAAUAUUAGGUGUAUGCAUGCAAUUUAAAUAAGCAAAAGAUACCUCCGGUGUGCUUAUACAGUCAUACGCACCAGAGCCAUCUGAGAAAAAAGAAGAAGAAGAAGAAGAAGAAGAGGAGGAAGAAUUCAGGUGUCUAUGUUUUACGACUUUUGGUUGUCUGGGGUGCUCUUCCCCUUAUAUCAUCCUCAUCAUGAGUUGGACAGCUUCUUUUUAUUUUGCAAAGGGCCAGAAAGAGAAAAAUAUUACUUGUAUAUGAUUACUGAGAUCAUGUAUGGCAGCAUGCUGCAAUAUUAAAUUUUAAUAAUAAUUAGUGAUAUCUACUUAUUCGGAGUACGUAAUAUCAAUCUCUCUCUCUCUCUAUUAAUUAUGUCUAUCUCCCCGUAAGUCCAUCCAUUAAUAUAUCAUGGCAACUGAAGAACAUGGAUCUUUUAAAGGAUUUCUUUAUAGAGUUAAUUAUCUUCUUGAUCAUUUCAAUUUCCCCCUUUCAGUUUUGUAUUAUGCUCAAGCAUGGAUUUAUGUUAAUUCAUUUUCCAUUACUAUAGCUGAGCAUAAAAUCCGUGAACUGAGUUUAGAAAAUGUAAGUACUGUGUUUUUUUCCUUCUUAAUUAUAUUUGGUUAUCUUGUCUGCUAGGGUUUUUCUGAUUUCUUGGGUUUAUUUUUCUUGAAAUAGUUUGAAAUAUGUGAGGUUUGGUGCUUGAUAGAUUCAGGUUCACUUGUUUUGCAGCGAACGUCAUUCGCUACCUUUCGUUACAUUAAGUUCAUUUUGAAAUUUGAGACAAAUAAGGUAUUGAUUUGUGGAGAACUGCUGAAAUUUUAAUUUGAGGGUUGUGAAUCUGUGAUCAUAACUUCAGCUUGGAGAACAAUGGCUAGAGGAGCUUCGGUACGUUUAUUGCUUUAUACAAAGUUGCCAUAUAGGCUAGCUGGGAAUAUUGAAAACAAGUUGAAGAAAGUGCUUUCCUUGCUUUACUUUUGUCCGCAUCAAAAGGGUAAUUAAAUUUUCUUCCUUUUAUGACUGCAUAGCUGCAUAGUUGCAUAGCCUUGUCCUUUUUCAUGUAUUCUGAAAUUCGUUGAAUGUAUGUAUACUUUGUGUUUGGUACACUUUGUACUAAUAAUAUGCUAAGGCGCAGCUUGUUAUGCUUGUUCUUUUCAACUAUUCUGUGAGCCCGAUAAAUAAUAGUUCAUUAUUUGUUGCUUCACUUUGCCAAUAUUGCUUGAGGUGAGUUACCUCAAGCAAGAGCAUGAUCUUGGACUGCAAAUUUUCAUGGUUAUUAAGUUUGUAGGUCAUUUUAGAGCAUUAAAUCGACAUAAAAAGAUCUAAAUUUCUGUUAUGUGAAGAUUCAUGCGAUAGGAUUAGUGAGCUGCCAAGAAAUACUAUUGUCAUUCAGGUAUUUGGGUUGGAUUGCUCCUUGUUCUUGUUGUCUUUUGCACUUUACAGUAAUUUGAGAACAUUUUUAUCUUCUAUGCAGGCUCAGAAAGCAGAGAGGGAUGCUACAGAUUUAUAAACUUAGAGUUUGGUGAAAAGGUAAAACAUGAAUUGAAGUUUUAAUUGUAGUUUAUGUGACUUCAAAGUUGAUGAAAUAAUAUAUUGGUCUAUUAUCUCUCGUCUUUUGCAGUGGGAGAAGGGAAAUAGCACAUACACCCAACAACAACUUGAUGAACUGAGAAAUGAAUGGGUAGAAUUUGUGAGUCAUCGCAUGUACUAGCUAUAUAUGUAGUUACCUAGUCACUAUUUUGUGAAUUUUGGCUAUAAAUAGUUAGCCCUAGUCACUAUUUUGUGAAUUUUGGCUAUCGAUAGUUAGCCUACCUAUAUGUAGUCAUCAUGGAGUAACACUAUAUGUUGUAUAAAUGUGGUAGGGUUUUGAACUAUGACAGAAUUGUUAAAGUAAGAUGUAUCUUAAGCUUUUAUGAAAAAUGCAGGUUUUUGAGUAUGAAUAGUCCAUUUGGACCUCAAUAUCCAGGUUGUAUGUAAACAUGGGUGGGUUUCUUGUUCCACAGAGGUAUAAAAUCAUCUUCCCAAUAUGCAAAUCCAAAAUAAAACUACGAUUUACCUUAAAAUAGCAACGUAGAAAUAAGUGUAAGUAGAAAUAAGGAUGACACGUCAAAUUUAUUUUUAAAAUAUAGACGUAGUAAGUCUAGAACUACGUCCAUUUUUAUUAUCAAUUUGACAUUGUAAGAUUCAUACUACGUCUACGACACAUACCACAUCGCUUCUCAAGUAAUACUUGACGUAGCUGUUAUUCAAAAACGUCUAUUUUAUUUUAAAAAAGUGACGUGGGAUAAUACUUCCUAUGACGCUUUUUAAGAUAUAGGGACAUAGAAUGUUGUUUUAAGCAUCGAUUUUUCUUCUAAUGGAACUCGAACGAAGUUGCCUUUGGACAAAAAACGACGUGGAUUAAUAUAUUGCACGGUGGUGAAUCACCGUCGUGGUUAAGGUUUUUAAACCAUGUCGGUAGAGUAGACAUUGCUUUUUCACCUUGAACCACGACGGUUUUCCACCGUCAUUGUUUUCAAUUUUUGGCAUAGUGUAUAUUGCCUCGAUCGUCAUCGUAUCGAUUAGUAACACCAAAAAUACAUCAAGAACUUAUAGGAGAAUAUUAACCUAGCUAUAUUUCAGAGUCAGAAGAUAAUCUAAUUGCUUUUGUUGUUAUAUGCCCUUUUCUUUCACAUAUAACAACUAGCUAAGGCAAUAUCUAAUAUUUAUGAGACUUGCUAUAAUCCUAUCAUCAUGCUCUAACAGAAUCUAAGUUUAUUUUUUUUUUUCUCAUGAAACUUACAAAAGCUUGAGAUCUCUAAACACACCAUUCCACCUAAUCCAUCUCAUACAAUUUGAACAAAAGUAUAUGUGGGUUGAUUAACCAUAUAUAGUCAUAUAAUAAGAAUAUAUGCAUGCAUAAAAAAGAAGUGUCAAUAGGAAUGUAAAAAAAAAAUUUGAUGACUAGCUAGGAUUGUAUUGGAUUGGAAAAGUCAUUAAUCUAAGAUAUGUUGUUAAAGGAGGAAAUGAAGGUCGGUGAAUGAUUUUUCAUUUUGGGGGCGAUUAGGAAGGAUAAUUUAUAAAAUGUUGCUAUCCUACCAUUUUGUGGGGAUUAUGGGAUAAGUUUUCUUCAUUUUUUUUAAAUUUUUUUUUAGGACCUUUCCUAUUGAAAGGGACGAUAAUUAACAUAUUAAACUUACACACACUACAUGGAUGUUAGGACUCGAACCCAAGACCUUUUUUGUGAUCCAAACCACUACUAGUGGGUCCUUUACAAAUAAGUUUUCUUCAUGAGUAAUCUAUUUUUUACCUUCAACAUGACCAUGGGUUUUUCAUUUCUUCCUAUAAGACCAUCCACAAUGGUAAGGUGUAUAUUGAGGUGUAUGUCAAAUAUACACAUUUGGUUGCCGGAAUGUCCUGCAAUGGGGAGGUAUAUAUGGCUAUAAAUGUACAUCACAACCAUGAGAUGAGAAAAAAAGAUACAAAAAUGUACAUCUAAUUUUACACCCAGCCAAGUUGGUCCCGUAACAUAAAAGCCAAGAGAGAAGAGAGAGGAAAGCUAAAAGAUGGGGAAGUUAUUAAAAUGGUAGGCUCAUGGCGUGGAAGUUCUUCUCCAACAAAUCUCUAAUAUAUGGCCAUAUUUCAUUCAAAUUGAAAUAUGAAACUAAUAAUUGCACUGAUCAAUGGUGAAGAAUAAAUUCAUAUCAAAACUGACGAUUCAUAUUAAUUUUAUUUACAUCAUAUUGAAUGAAAUUAUAUCUUAUCAGAAUUUUAAAAUUUUUAAGUCGAUUUGUUCAGAAAAAAUAAUUAAACCUAACACACACAAAAUUAACCCCAAAAUAUUAACAUUAAAAAAAAAUUUGACACAAAAAUUGAAUUAAUACAAGAAAAUCGGAUUUACAUCUUUGAAUCUGCAUCCAACUCAUUGGAGCAAAAAUGAUAUUUGCAUCUCCUGAAGGUGUAAAGGAGAUGUAAAAGUGGCUUUACACCUCCCCAUUGUAGAUGCUCUAACAUACUUAAAAUAUAGGAAGUUAUCAUAUCCAACCCUCGCUAGACAUCAAAUGAGCCCAAAAUUUCACCCAAAAAGAAAUUGGUAUACAUAUAUAUAGUGAUUUCCAAAGAAAAAUUUGAAUACGUUGGGUUCAAUCUCCAAAAUACAAACCACAAUGAAUAUUUUAGAAAAAGGGGUACGUAAUAUCCAGCGUGGCAGACGAGCUGGAGGUGACAGUGGAGCCUGAGAGCGUGCAUGGACUGUUGAUCCCACAUACCGAAUGCGCAGCGCAGGCACUUGCCAUGAGCCUAGCAUACGUCGACAGACCUACAUCCCACUAGGAAAAACGUAUGGAGGGCAGCCCUGCCAUGUCAUCGCUCCCUCCUGUUAGCGCCAAAUUUCGUUGCCCUUUUCAUGUCAACGUGUCCAAUAUCAAGAUCUCAAACAAAUUACAGAGAUCGCAGAAGAAAGCAACAUGUCUGUUGGAAAGGAUAUGGAAUAAGAAUUUGCAUAUGCCAAUAUGAUGAUAUUAUCCCUUUCCCUAUUAUAAAUAUGCAGACAUGUACUGGUGCAGUCUGCAACUAGCUUCCGCAUACACACUGCAUGCUUAUUUAAUUUCUUUGGUCAAUUUCUUAGGUAAGCAGGUCCUUUUUCUUUUUCUUUUUUCUAUAUAAACCCUAUUUUAUAUAUGUCAGUUGCAAUGGUGAGUGUCAAUAGCAAACAGUUACUUGCUGCUUCCAAGUUGGUUUUUAAAAAGGAGGAGCUGUCCAAGACACAGUUUCAUGUUCACCGGAAGAAUGAUUGGGAUGAUGAUGACGACGACGACGACGAUGAUGCGGGCAGUGUUGCACCAGCCGCAUAGCUAUAUAUAUGUUUAUUGGCAUUGAGAGAAUUUGAGGCACUUCCCAGCCUCCUAGGAGUGAGCUUUGACACACUAGUUGAACAAUGUUGUGCUUUGGCACUAGUUGUCUCAGUUAAAGAUUGUUUUUUGUUUUUAAGGAGUUUCAAAUCGAGUACUAUUAGAACAAAAGAGAAAAACAAGUUUCUCGACUCCCUCUGCUAGCUUGUCUUGUUUUUAAUAGUACGUUGACUGAAUAUUAAUCUAAGCUUAAAGUUCAUUACAAAAUCCGAAGUUAUCUGCUUGUCUUGUUUUUUAAGUUUUUAAUGUAUAGGGCCACCAAUAUAAUAAACCACUUCAUUUUGAAAGGCCGAAUAACCAUGCAUAUUCUGAGUCUGUGAGGCAAG